UUACCACAGUUGCUGCGCUAUUUCACACCGCCUCCACUGAGACUGCAGAAGCUGUGACUGGGAGGAUGACCUCCCAUGUUCCCACCGUGUUUUCCGUGGUGGUCUCAGCGAUCCCCCUGAUCGCAUUUAACGGGAGCAUCGCGGACUGUUCACAGGAUUCCUCAUUUUGCUGGUCAUUGUGGAGGCUGUAACGUUCCACUGCUGUGGAGCAGAAAACUACACGAAACUGGGAAAGAGCAGCACUGUGCCAGAGUCCUGCUGCAGGAUCCGACCCUCAGCCUGCGGGCUGGAUGCCUCGGCCCGGAGUAUUUACUGCAAGGCAAGACUUUCCUGCAGAGACACCCACGCAUUGGAGUUCUACCCUGGCACCGAAGUUCCUGUUUUUUUGUACCUGGUGGGCAUUAGGUACUUCCAGCACAGGAAAGGGGAGCUAAUUACUGCUAAUUAGCAGGAUAAUUAGGCUUGCUAAGUGGCAGAGAGUGGCCCUCUGUGGACAGACAUGCCUUCUAGGACCAUAUGUGACGUGACAGACUUUGUCCUUUGAUAAAUAGCACCGCGACUCCACCAAUUCUCCGCUGACUCUGCAGGACUUUGCGCUUGCAAUCAAGAUGUAUUUACAGGACAGCUCCCUCGCGAUAGGAGUCGCCUGCGUUAGCCUGGUGUUGGUGGAAGGAAGAGGCUGGCCUAGAAGUGCUGUAUCGUUAUAAAUAUUCAUGGGCAGUUUAACAGGUUUUAUAGUCACGCUGUCUGAACCCGAAGACAUCCUGCUUGUGCUGCUCAUGAAUAUCCAUGAAUUUAACGAAAGCAAACGUCUUUAAUCAAUGACAAAAGCUCUUUAGUUGGGACGUGAACAUGCCCUUAGGGUAAUAUAGCAGUCGUACAUAAAUAAAACAGCAGAACUCACACAGCAGUGCCUCUAUAGCCCUAGACUAAACCAAACAGUCUGGGAAAUGUGAUUGAUGUCAUUAUGGUGGAGGUUAAAUAAACUGUCGACGUGAUCUGCACUGUAAUUCACAAAAUUUUGAUUUUGCAGAAUGUUAAAACAGGAAUAUCUCUGGUCAAAUGAAUGCCGUGAAAAGCACUCACAAGUCACAUGUAAUCAACGGAAUAAUAGUGAUUUCCACGUAUAUUAGUCCUUACACAUUUAUAACAAAGUUAUAACAAAGAGAUGUUUAGUAUUUCAAGGAGUAGCAAAUUUGCAUUCUGAACACCGCAAACAUCGUCACUCAUGCUAUAACGAUCCUCCGCAAAAACAAUGUUGUUUAAUUUUGUGUCCCAUAAGCACUAUUAAAAUUGAUGAUCCUGGGAAAA